rnacentral:rRNA from 1 species
UCGAACGCUUUUUCUUUCACCGGAGCUUGCUCCACCGAAAGAAAAAGAGUGGCGAACGGGUGAGUAACACGUGGGUAACCUGCCCAUCAGAAGGGGAUAACACUUGGAAACAGGUGCUAAUACCGUAUAACACUAUUUUCCGCAUGGAAGAAAGUUGAAAGGCGCUUUUGCGUCACUGAUGGAUGGACCCGCGGUGCAUUAGCUAGUUGGUGAGGUAACGGCUCACCAAGGCAACGAUGCAUAGCCGACCUGAGAGGGUGACCGGCCAUACUGGGACUGAGACACGAUCCAAAUCUCUACGGGAGGCAGCAGUAGGGAAUCUUCGGCAAUGGACGAAAGUCUGACCGAGCAACGCCGCGUGAGUGAAGAAGGUUUUCGGAUCGUAAAACUCUGUUGUUAGAGAAGAACAAGGAUGAGAGUAAAAUGUUCAUCCCUUGACGGUAUCUAACCAGAAAGCCACGGCUAACUACGUGCCAGCAGCCGCGGUAAUACGUAGGUGGCAAGCGUUGUCCGGAUUUAUUGGGCGUAAAGCGAGCGCAGGCGGUUUCUUAAGUCUGAUGUGAAAGCCCCCGGCUCAACCGGGGAGGGUCAUUGGAAACUGGGAGACUUGAGUGCAGAAGAGGAGAGUGGAAUUCCAUGUGUAGCGGUGAAAUGCGUAGAUAUAUGGAGGAACACCAGUGGCGAAGGCGGCUCUCUGGUCUGUAACUGACGCUGAGGCUCGAAAGCGUGGGGAGCGAACAGGAUUAGAUACCCUGGUAGUCCACGCCGUAAACGAUGAGUGCUAAGUGUUGGAGGGUUUCCGCCCUUCAGUGCUGCAGCAAACGCAUUAAGCACUCCGCCUGGGGAGUACGACCGCAAGGUUGAAACUCAAAGGAAUUGACGGGGGCCCGCACAGCGGUGGAGCAUGUGUUUAAUUCGUAGCAACGCGAAGACCUUACCAGGUCUGACAUCCUUUGACCA